rnacentral:rRNA from 1 species
UACGAAGGGGGCUAGCGUUGCUCGGAAUCACUGGGCGUAAAGAGCGUGUAGGCGGCUAGGUAGGUCCGUUGUGAAAACUCGAGGCUCAACCUCGAGACGUCGAUGGAAACCAUCUAGCUAGAGUCCGGAAGAGGAGAGUGGAAUUCCUGGUGUAGCGGUGAAAUGCGCAGAUAUCAGGAAGAACACCCGUGGCGAAGGCGGCUCUCUGGUACGUGACUGACGCUGAGACGCGAAAGCGUGGGGAGCGAACAGG